rnacentral:lncRNA from 1 species
AUAGAUAAAAAAGACUCUAUUCAAGCUUGUCCAGCCUGCACACAUGGGCUGCAUGUGGUCCAGGACAGCUUUGAAUACGGCCCAACACAAAUUGGUAAAUUUUCUUAAAGCAUUAUGAGAUUGUUUUGCGAGUUUUUUUUCUUUUUUUUAGCUCAUCAGCUAUCGUUAGUGUUAGUGUGUUUUAUGUGUGGCCCAAGAUAAUUAUACUUCACUGUGGCCUAGGGAAGCCAAAAGAUUGGACAUUCCUACCAAUUUCUGAGAAUCAGUUCCUUCCUAUGUCUUUUUACUUAAAAGGCAUUUUGUAAGGUAUUUUGUAGCAACAUCACUGGUUGUUUUAGAAGUGUAUUUUUUAAAAAAGCACACUUGUCCUAGCGGAAGAAGGUUCAGUGAGCACUAAGAGGAUGUUGGCUUCUCUUGGGUUUAAGAUAAUUAGUUUUCAGGUUGCUGUAGCCAAAACAGUUCAGGUGAUGAGGGGUUGGGACAGUGGCUAAUACUAUUUUGUAUUACAGCAGUUUUGAUGCAGCUAUCGUUUUAUAAACAUUUUUAAGAUUGUCAGUAGACUGCAGCAAUGCUUAUAAGGAAGAUUUAUUUAGAGCUCUGUAGUAUUUAUGAUUGAAAGAAGGAAGCAUUUUUAAAACACCCUUCCCAUUUAACAUUUUAAAUAUUACUGAUUUUUGUCAUUGAGUUUGUAAGUCUAUCAUAAGCUUUGCAAAAACAAAACUUGUUCUUUCUAUCUAAAUCAGUUUUUCUGUUUAAAAAAAGGGUAAUGGGGCUAUAGGGAAAAUUCAAAGAAGAGCUAUGGGCAGCUUGCUUAACCAUCUCCAUGUUAACGUAUGUUGGAUGGGAGGUGGGAAGAGGGAUUUAGACUGGUGGUGAAGACUUAUCCAUAUUAUAUCAAAUGGGUGUGUGUAUAAUUCCUAGUGAGAGAUUUUCUGAGGCAGUUUAUUGAUGUUUAGAGAUGGAUUUUGAAAAGAUCCUUAUACUUUGUCUUAAUCAGUUACCCCUUCCCAUCUAAUAAACCUCCUUCAUUAUUUCAUUUUAAAUAAUACUUUCAUUUGAGAUAAAUGCUGAGAAUUUUAACAGAAAAGUUAAAACUGAAACCCCCAAACCAGUAGCAAAGGUUUAUGAGUGUGCCCUUCUAACCUGUUCUGGUAGUCACUGUACAUUGAUCCUUGGCUUUCUUUGACAGAUACUUUGCUGAUUAUAGAUGGAGCUCUAGCUCUUUUUGAAAGGGUUCUCAGAGAAAUUGGUUUGGUUCUAAAGUGUUUCUUGAGUUCUUUGUACCUAAGAAAGCCUUUCAUUCUGCAUAGCGUUUAUCACCAUCCAACAUAUAUAUUUCUUUACCCUGUUUAUUGACUGUCUUACCUCAUGGGAAUGUAAGAUCUGUGAGGACAGACCUGUGUUGCCACUGCUAGAACAGUUCUUGAUAUGUUAUAAGUAAGCAUACCAAUAUUUGUUGAAUGAAUGAGAGUACUGAAGCAAGAAGUGAAUUUUUUAAGUAUUAGAAUUUACCUUUUAAAUAAUGUAAUAUUUACUUCUUAGUUGAAUUGCUUCUAGCUCAAUGUUUUAUUAGCUCUCUUUAUGCCUGAGAAGUGGUUUGAUGUGGGGUGGGGUAUUGUGGGAGCUGGCUAAAGUAUAAUUGAGAAGAAGGGGAAAUUCAGCUAAGAAAGCACUCAUAUCCUUUCUCUUUGAACUUUUGGACUUUUGCUCCAAAGUUAUCAAAUUCUUGGAAUUGUUGCUUGUAGAACCUGCAAAAUUAAUAGUCAAGUUAGAGCUUUAACCUGUUAACAUUUAAUAUUUUCCCAAAGAAAGUAGGAAGGGCAUAGUUUCCUUGAUACGCUUGACAAGAGAAAAUAACCCCAAAAAGUGUACUUUUAAUUACACAGCUUACAGAAGCUGGGGUGUUACAAAUUUUGUAGUGUGAUUUUAGUGCCCUGGUUUAGACCCCAUAAUAUCCUUCCCUAACUGUUGUACAUAAGGGGCAAGCCUUUCAUUGCACUCAGGUGGGAGUGGGAGCAAGGAAUACCUUUGAGAGAGAGAACGUAUGAUAAAACAAAUACAUGAACCAUAUUUGUGCUUCAGAAUAAAAGAUUAAUUUUGCUGAAGAGUGUGUGUGGGUGAUGUAGGGGGAGAAGUUCAGGAAGAAGAAACAACAGGGUCUAGAGGGUUUUUUAGAUUUUGUCCACUUUAUAGUUUUGCCAACAUUAGUUCAGAAGUGUAAUUAACAGUAAACUUUCCCUAAUUGCCUUUUGUUUACAUAAAAUUUUGUGAAAUGUGGUUUUCAUUAACUUAGAAUUGUUUAGACCAAGUUAGUGAAUUCAGUGAAGGUGAAGAAUGCAGGCACAAACUAGUAAUGUGUAACUAGUAAGGCUGGAGAGAUGAUGUUCAUAUGAAAAGAAGGUCCUUUCCUUUUAUUGUCUGUUUAAUAACCUGCUGUAAGCUUACCAAUGCCCAUUUGCCCUUUCAUUGCAGAACACCUGUGUCCAGCUGGAUACCACGUUUCCUAGCUUUUUUUCAGCUAGGUAUGGUCAUGUGACUAAGCUUGGCCAGUAGGAUAUUAGCAGAAGUGAUAGGCACCACUUCUGCAUUAUAUCUGGAAGAGGAAUGCACCCCUUGCUCUUUUCCCCUUCUCAGUGGCUGGAAUGCAGAUAUGAAGGCAGGAUCUAGCAUAGAUACCUUGAAGUGGACAUGGAAGCCGAGGGAUGAGGAUGACAGUUGUGCUACCCCUGAAAGAGUACUGUGCUACACCUGAAAGAGUACUGUGAGAAAGAAACUUGCGUGGCGGAUGGCUUUGUUAUAGCAGUUUGGACUGUAACCUAAUUAAUACUUACUUGCCAAUUGAGUGAUUAACACAGGUCCAACUUUAUGGUAGGCAGGGCAGUAGGGCUGGAAUCAUUGUUCUUGUCCUCAUGGAAAGUGAAGCUGUAACAGAGUAGUUCCGAGUUCAUUAGGUUAAUCAGUUUUGGAGGGUGGAGAAGCAGGACCCACAAAUGAGGGUUAUUUUAAACUAUAGACUCUACUUCUGUGUUUCUGAAUAUUUUUAUUUUUUCUGGCCCUGAGCCGUAUGAGCUUGUUCAUUCAUUUGACUAAUAUUUGAGGGCUUGUUAGAUGUCAGGCUGAGGAAUAAGAGUGGUUAAAACAAAAAUUCUUUCCCUUAAGGAUCUUCAUUCUGGUUAAUGAAGACAGCAAACAAGGUAAAUAAAAUAUAUGGUGUGUUUACUAGUAAGUUCCAAAGAGAAAAAAAUAAAGCAGGAAAGGAAUAUACCAGGGUUGGGGAACAAGGUGGAAUUAUAAUUUUAGAUAUAGUAGCCAGGGAAGGUUUCACUGAGUAAAUAAUCUUUGAUCGAAGUCCAGGAAGAUGAGGAAGUUGUUACGUGAAGCAGUGAUUUAACCAGUUCUUAUUCAAGGCAAUUCAGAAGGCAUGUGAAUGUUACUGCAAUGAUCUGUGCUUUUCUGCAGAAAAUGAAUAAUUCAAGCAGAAAUAGCUAAAGGUACAAACUUCUAUUAAAUUGCUUGUUCUUUAGUCUCUGCAGGAGAUAUAGUAAUAACUGAAGUGUUACACAGGUGGAGACGGGAAACGUUAGUUGCUAAGAACUUUGGAUUACCACCGCUAGGAAACCAGCCACUUGGAAGACCAAUCAAUAAAGGAGUGUUCAACUCAAUAUUUCACCUGAUACAAGAUGAUGAAACGGGCUAUCAGAAAUACAGAAAUAACGAUGAAGGCAUGGAGUGGAUGAUCAAGCUCAGGUCAUUGGCUCCAGAACUCAGACUCUUGGUCACCACUAUGCUACCUCUCCUUGACUCCUAGCAUCUGCAGCUACCUCCCCACCGUGAUCUCCAGCCUCUCCCCCAACCCCCA